GACGAACGCUGGCGGCGUGCUUAACACAUGCAAGUCGAACGGAAAGGCCCUGCUUUUGUGGGGUGCUCGAGUGGCGAACGGGUGAGUAACACGUGAGUAACCUGCCCUUGACUUUGGGAUAACUUCAGGAAACUGGGGCUAAUACCGGAUAGGAGCUCCUGCUGCAUGGUGGGGGUUGGAAAGUUUCGGAGGUUGGGGAUGGACUCGCGGCUUAUCAGCUUGUUGGUGGGGGAGUGGCUUACGAAGGCUUUGACGGGUAGCCGGCCUGAGAGGGUGACCGGCCACAUUGGGACUGAGAUACGGCCCAGACUCCUACGGGAGGCAGCAGUGGGGAAUAUUGCACAAUGGGCGGAAGCCUGAUGCAGCAACGCCGCGUGCGGGAUGACGGCCUUCGGGUUGUAACCCGCUUUCGCCUGUGACGAAGCGUGAGUGACGGUAAUGGGUAAAGAAGCACCGGCUAACUACGUG
rnacentral:rRNA from 1 species